GGGGCCGUAGCUCAGUUGGUUAGAGCAUCGGACUUUUAAUCCGUUGGUCCUGGGUUCGAGUCCCAGCGGCCCCA
rnacentral:tRNA from 2 species